UGGAAAAUAAAAUAAAUUAAGAAUUUCUGGUCCCUCAAAAGAUAGCACUAAAUGCAAAUGGGAUUAAAUUAAAGGCUGGACUUUACAGUUAUUCAGCUUCUUCAUUGGGGAAGAAAUAUCCAAGAACUAUCCAAGGAAGAGGAUUGUGAUUUAGUUAACCUUGCUGGAAAGGAAAUAUUUAGAGACUUUGUGAUUAAGAUAGGACUUGGAAGAAUCAGAAUGCUUUACUGGAUCAGGAGUAGAUCUCUCUACCAUACAGAGCUGAGCAAUUGAAGAAAAAUGCAAGCUGCUAUAAUAAGCCAAGUGCAAAAUUGGAUUACAAAGUCAUUAGAGGCUGUAGUUGUUCAGCACCUUUUAGCCCUUGGGAAAGAUUAUUAAACAAAUGAAAAUGGUUUUAAAACUAAGCAUUUUAUUCCUUUCAAGUAGGGGUUAUUAUUUCUUUUAACUUCUAAUUGUUGUGCAUAAUACUGUAUAAUAUCAAAUUUAAAAUGUAUUUACUGCCUUUAUAAAUGUAGAUCAGUGGCUAUGCUUUAAAACAUGCAAUCUUUUUGCCUGUUUCUGUAAACAGGACAUUUAUAUAAAAGCAUAUUUUUUACACUUCUUUUGUGAUUUCUGACAUAUUUUUUAAAAUCAAAAUGCUUAAGGAUAUUCAAAAUUCCUAAAAUGAUAUUUUAGCUUUUAUCAUUUUUCAUUUUUUAAAUUAUU
rnacentral:lncRNA from 1 species